GAUGAAGAACGUAGCGAAAUGCGAUAAGUAAUGUGAAUUGCAGAAUUCAGUGAAUCAUCGAAUCUUUGAACGCACAUUGCGCCCAUUAGUAUUCUAGUGGGCAUGCCUGUUCGAGCGUCAUUAAGUCCACUUAAGCCCUGCUUAGUGUUGGGAGACUGCUCCAGCGGUGCUACCCUGUAGCUACCCUGCAGCUCCUCAAAGACAGCGGCGGAGUUGUGGUAUCCUCUGAGCUUAGUAACUUGUUCUAGCUUUCGAGUACACCACUUCCCCUGCCGUAAAACCCUUAAUUUUUAAUGGUUGACCUCGGAUCAGGUAGGAAUACCCGCUGAACUUAAGCAUAUCAAUAAGCGGAGG
rnacentral:misc_RNA from 1 species